CGGGAUAGCUCAGCUGG
rnacentral:tRNA from 2 species